rnacentral:rRNA from 1 species
GAUGAACGCUGGCGGCGUGCCUAAUACAUGCAAGUUGAGCGAACAGACGAGGAGCUUGCUCCUCUGACGUUAGCGGCGGACGGGUGAGUAACACGUGGAUAACCUACCUAUAAGACUGGGAUAACUUCGGGAAACCGGAGCUAAUACCGGAUAACAUGUUGAACCGCAUGGUUCAACAGUGAAAGACGGUCUUGCUGUCACUUAUAGAUGGAUCCGCGCCGCAUUAGCUAGUUGGUAAGGUAACGGCUUACCAAGGCAACGAUGCGUAGCCGACCUGAGAGGGUGAUCGGCCACACUGGAACUGAGACACGGUCCAGACUCCUACGGGAGGCAGCAGUAGGGAAUCUUCCGCAAUGGGCGAAAGCCUGACGGAGCAACGCCGCGUGAGUGAAGAAGGUCUUCGGAUCGUAAAACUCUGUUAUUAGGGAAGAACAAAUGUGUAAGUAACUAUGCACGUCUUGACGGUACCUAAUCAGAAAGCCACGGCUAACUACGUG